GAUGAACGCUGGCGGCGUGCUUAACACAUGCAAGUCGAACGGUGAAGGCGGAGCUUGCUCUGCUGGAUCAGUGGCGAACGGGUGAGUAACACGUGAGCAAUCUGCCCCUGACUCUGGGAUAAGCGCUGGAAACGGCGUCUAAUACUGGAUACGAGCUGCGAAGGCAUCUUCAGCAGCUGGAAAGAAUUUCGGUCAGGGAUGAGCUCGCGGCCUAUCAGCUUGUUGGUGAGGUAAUGGCUCACCAAGGCGUCGACGGGUAGCCGGCCUGAGAGGGUGACCGGCCACACUGGGACUGAGACACGGCCCAGACUCCUACGGGAGGCAGCAGUGGGGAAUAUUGCGCAAUGGGCGAAAGCCUGAUGCAGCAACGCCGCGUGAGGGACGACGGCCUUCGGGUUGUAAACCUCUUUUAGCAGGGAAGAAGCGAAAGUGACGGUACCUGCAGAAAAAGCGCCGGCUAACUACGUG
rnacentral:rRNA from 1 species